CCUACGGGAGGCAGCAGUAGGGAAUAUUGCUCAAUGGGGGAAACCCUGAAGCAGCAACGCCGCGUGGAGGAAGCAGGCUUUCGGUUUGUAAACUUCUUUUAAGAGGGAAGAGCAGAAGACGGUACCUCUUGAAUACGCCACGGCUCACUACGUGCCAGCAGCCGCGGUAAUCCGUAGGUGGCAAGCGUUGUCCGGAUUUACUGGGUGGAAAGGGCGUGCAGCCGGGAAGACAAGUCAGAUGUGAAAUCCCGCGUCUCAACCGCGGAACUGCAUUUGAAACUGUUUUUCUUGAGUACCGGAGAGGUCAGCGGAAUUCCUUGUGUAGCGGUGAAAUGCGUAGAUAUAAGGAAGAACACCAGUGGCGAAGGCGGAUGACUGGACGGCAACUGACGGUGAGGCGCGAAAGCGUGGGGAGCAAACAGGAUUAGAUACCCCUGUAGUC
rnacentral:rRNA from 1 species